UACAGAGGUCCCGAGCGUUGUUCGGAUUCACUGGGCGUAAAGGGUGCGUAGGUGGUGAGGUAAGUCGGAUGUGAAAUCUCCGAGCUCAACUCGGAAAUGGCAUUGGAAACUACCUUGCUUGAGGGUUGGAGGGGGGACUGGAAUACUUGGUGUAGCAGUGAAAUGCGUAGAUAUCAAGUGGAACACCAGUGGCGAAGGCGAGUCCCUGGACAACUCCUGACACUGAGGCACGAAGGCCAGGGGAGCAAACGGG
rnacentral:rRNA from 1 species